CUCGGACGUCUUCUGUCCACACUGGAGACCCCAUCCCUCAGCCUUUCGCCCUCUCCACGUCCUCGUCCCGCCAUGGGCGUCCACUUGGCUUCCACCUUCCUCCUCCUCCUGGCCGCCCUCCCAGGGCUGAUGGCGGCCGUGCAGCUGGUGGAGUCCGGAGGGGGCCUCCAGACACCCGGGGGGUCCCUCACCCUCCGCUGCAAGGCCUCCGGCUUCACCUUCAGCAGCAAAGGCAUGGGAUGGGUGCGACAGGCCCCCGGGAAGGGGCUGGAGUACGUCGCGCAGAUUAACACUGGUGGUAGCACAUGGUACGCGUCAUCGGUCAAGGGGCGCUUCACCAUCUCCAGGGACAACUCCCAGAGCAUGCUCACGCUGCAGAUGAACAGCCUCCGGGACGACGACACGGCCACCUACUACUGCGCGAAACGUACUGGUGGUGGUUGUGGUGCUGGUAAUGCUGAUGGUGAUGCUUAUGGUGGUGGCACCAACCCCAGCCCCAUGGAACAACAUCCCUGUGCUGUGUCCCCAAAUCAACCGCUAUUGACCCAAACCUGAAGCAUUUGCCACAAACCUCGACCA